rnacentral:rRNA from 1 species
CCUACGGGAGGCAGCAGUGAGGAAUAUUGGUCAAUGGGCGGGAGCCUGAACCAGCCAAGCCGCGUGAGGGAAGAAGGUACAGCGUAUCGUAAACCUCUUUUGUCAGGGAACAAAGGCGGGGACUAGUCCCCGGAUGAGGGUACCUGAAGAAAAAGCAUCGGCUAACUCCGUGCCAGCAGCCGCGGUAAUUCGGAGGAUGCGAGUGUUAUCCGGAUUUAUUGGGUUUAAAGGGUGCGCAGGGGGCGGGUUAAGUCAGCGGUAAAAGCCCGGGGCCAAAGCCCGGCGAGCCGUUGAUACUGGCGGGCUGGAGUGGGAGAGAAGUAGGCGGAAUGCGCGGUGUAGCGGUGAAAUGCUUAGAUAUCGCGCAGAACCCCGAUUGCGAAGGCAGCGUACGGGCUCCACACUGACGCUGAGGCACGAAAGCGUGGGUAUCGAACAGGAUUAGAUACCCGGGUAGUC